rnacentral:rRNA from 1 species
CCGCACAAGCGGUGGAGCAUGUGGUUUAAUUCGACGCAACGCGCAGAACCUUACCAGCCCUUGACAUGUCCAUGACCGGUCGCAGAGAUGUGACCCUCUCUUCGGAGCAUGGAGCACAGGUGCUGCAUGGCUGUCGUCAGCUCGUGUCGUGAGAUGUUGGGUUAAGUCCCGCAACGAGCGCAACCCCCGUCCUUAGUUGCUACUAUUUAGUUGAGCACUCUAAGGAGACUGCCGGUGAUAAGCCGCGAGGAAGGUGGGGAUGACGUCAAGUCCUCAUGGCCCUUACGGGCUGGGCUACACACGUGCUACAAUGGCGGUGACAAUGGGAAGCAAAGGGGUGACCCCUAGCAAAUCUCAAAAAACCGUCUCAGUUCGGAUUGGGCUCUGCAACCCGAGCCCAUGAAGUUGGAAUCGCUAGUAAUCGUGGAUCAGCAUGCCACGGUGAAUACGUUCCCGGGCCUUGUACACACCGCCCGUCACACCAUGGGAGUUGGUUUUACCUGAAGGCGGUGCGCUAACCCGCAAGGGAGGCAGCCGACCACGGUAGGGUC